AACGAACGCUGGCGGCAUGCCUAACACAUGCAAGUCGAACGAGACCUUCGGGUCUAGUGGCGCACGGGUGCGUAACGCGUGGGAAUCUGCCCUUGGGUACGGAAUAACAGUUAGAAAUGACUGCUAAUACCGUAUAAUGACUUCGGUCCAAAGAUUUAUCGCCCAGGGAUGAGCCCGCGUAGGAUUAGCUUGUUGGUGAGGUAAAGGCUCACCAAGGCGACGAUCCUUAGCUGGUCUGAGAGGAUGAUCAGCCACACUGGGACUGAGACACGGCCCAGACUCCUACGGGAGGCAGCAGUGGGGAAUAUUGGACAAUGGGGAACCCUGAUCCAGCAAUGCCGCGUGAGUGAUGAGGGCCUUAGGGUU
rnacentral:rRNA from 1 species